rnacentral:rRNA from 1 species
CAGUAGCCGCGGUAACACGAAGGGUGCAAGCGUUAAUCGGAAUUACUGGGCGUAAGGCGGGCGUAGGCGGUGAGUUAAGUCUGCUGUGAAAUCCCCGGGCUCAACCUGGGAAUGGCAGUGGAUACUGGCUCGCUAGAGUGUGUCAGAGGAUGGUGGAAUUCCCGGUGUAGCGGUGAAAUGCGUAGAGAUCGGAAGGAACAUCUGUGGCGAAGGCGACUAUCUGGGCCAACACUGACACUGAGGCACGAAGGCGUGGGGAGCAAACAGGAUUAGAUACCCCUGUAGUCCCUGUCUCUUAUAC